AGGCCAGAAUAAGAACAAUGUUGUGAUGACAACAAAUAUUGCACUUGUCCCGGCCUAA
rnacentral:pre_miRNA from 1 species